GACGAACGCUGGCGGCGUGCUUAACACAUGCAAGUCGAACGGAAAUGCCCUGCUUUUGUGGGGUGCUCGAGUGGCGAACGGGUGAGUAACACGUGAGUAACCUGCCCUUGACUUUGGGAUAACUUCAGGAAACUGGGGCUAAUACCGGAUAGGAGCUCCUGCUGCAUGGUGGGGGUUGGAAAGUUUCGGCGGUUGGGGAUGGACUCGCGGCUUAUCAGCUUGUUGGUGGGGUAGUGGCUUACCAAGGCUUUGACGGGUAGCCGGCCUGAGAGGGUGACCGGCCAAAUUGGGACUGAGAUACGGCCCAGACUCAUACGGGAGGCAGCAGUGGGGAAUAUUGCACAAUGGGCGGAAGCCUGAUGCAGCAACGCCGCGUGCGGGAUGACGGCCUUCGGGUUGUAAACCGCUUUCGCCUGUGACGAAGCGUGAGUGACGGUAAUGGGUAAAGAAGCACCGGCUAACUACGUG
rnacentral:rRNA from 1 species